rnacentral:lncRNA from 1 species
UCAUCAGGGCGUGCGAUUAAGCUUUAUCCAACUAAGAUGAGCAAUCUAUGAAUCAAGGCAAACAUUUGAGAAUUAGUCUAUUGGUGGAACUGAGAAAGAAAACUCAUUCACAGGCUGUAUUGAUGGGGCAUUUGUGAAGAUCAAUGGUCGGCGAGGAUUGAAAUGCUGCUGAUUGAACACUUAAGUGUAGAUUGAGCUAGGUUUUUCAUAAGAAUUGGGGUGUUAUCUAGUGUGCAUGUCAAUAAUUAUUUUGUGUAAAUUUAUAGUGGGUAUAUUGGGGCUCUGAAAUUAUACAAUCCGAUACACACAAUAAGGGAUAUUUGCUUGGCUUAUGAGGAAGAAGCUUCAGUAGAUGUAAGCAUGUUUUUUUUUUUUUUACAAUCAGCGUAUUAUAGAUUUAAAUUUAUUCACUUUGAUUAUUUCUCUAUGCAGGCUUUUAGAAUUGAUGUCAGCCGACUCCAAAAGCUUAAUUACUAAGUAAGUAUCUCGUAUAUGACUGAUUGCAUCUCGAUUGCACAUGUCACUGAUACUGGCUUUUUCUUCCUGCAACAACUCCAUAGACUUCAAACCAAGGUGUUUAUGCUUAUUUCUUGGAGAUUCGACACUGUCAACAAAAUUUGGCAUACUUUUGUGGUUAAAUAAUGAAAAAUUGUUGCCAUUUGGGCUGCUUUUGCUUUUUGUCAUUUCAGGGAGUUUAAUAUGGUAUGCAAACGUACACUCUUAAGUUUUCAAUAAAGGAUAUCAAGACUUAUUUUUUACUAUAAUAUUUUUUGGCUCUAUUAAUUAAAAAAAUUGAUCAAAAUAUUUUAUAAUAAAUAAAAAUAUUAAAAUAAAUAUAAUAAUAUAUACAUUUUAAAAUAAUU